GGGGAAUAUUGGGCAAUGGGCGAAAGCCUGACCCAGCAACGCCGCGUGAGGGAAGAAGGUUUUCGGAUUGUAAACCUCUGUCCUCAGCGAAGAGAAAGAGACGGUAACUGAGGAGGAAGCCCCGGCUAACUACGUGCCAGCAGCCGCGGUAAUACGUAGGGGGCGAGCGUUGUCCGGAAUGAUUGGGCGUAAAGGGCGCGUAGGCGGCUUGAUAAGUCUGGAGUGAAAGUCCUGCCUUUAAGGUGGGAAUUGCUUUGGAAACUGUUGAGCUUGAGUGCAGGAGAGGUUAUCGGAAUUCCCGGUGUAGCGGUGAAAUGCGUAGAGAUCGGGAGGAACACCAGUGGCGAAGGCGGGUAACUGGACUGCAACUGACGCUGAGGCGCGAAAGUGUGGGGAGCAAAC
rnacentral:rRNA from 1 species